AGCUUGAGACAUAAGUACCAAGCAGCACUACCUAUAGAGUACUCUCCCUACAUCAACUGGUUAUAAAAACAAACAGGAACAUUCUUGAUGUUGAAGCACAAAACCCUUGCUGAUGCACAUGGAGACGUUUGUAAUGAUCAUAAUAAAAAGGCUCAAGGAUGCCAACCUUUUCGUGUCACAAGGAGGGCUCAUCAUUCUAGAUUUUUUGUGUGUUUGGCGUAUAACCUCCCAUUGUGAUUAUUCCUAAUUUCAGUAGUUAUCAGUAGCCCCAUGAUUAUAUUAUUGAAUUGUUGUGUUCAAGUGUACUCUAAAUAAUAUAUCAUGAUAGAAAUUUAAAGCUUGUGCAGUAUGUUUUAGUCCUAUGGUAGUUAUAUUUUGCACCAAACCAUUUCACCAUUUUUCUUUGCUUCAUGAUAUGACUCCCACUCUCUUCGGUCUUUGCUAAUUAUUUGACCCAAAAGUGACCCUAUGGUUUGGGUGAACUUGUGAUGUUGUUCUUUGUUUCAGCUUUCUAAUUUCUGUUGUGAUUGGUUUGGUAUGUCAUUGAUGCUUCCGUUAUUAAACAUGCUGCUUCUAUUUUAUCUUCAUCUAUCUGAAUGAUGUUUCCUUUUAGGUCACUCUUAUUGGUAGUCUAGAAAUGCCAAAGGAUGACAUAUGGCUUGUCACAGCUAUCCUAUCUGGUCUCAUUGAAUAAUGUGCGAAGAUAUAAGUCACUGGCUAUCAAUUUCUGUGAAUCAGAUCUUUCUUGGCCUCCUAUCUUCGCCUCAGGCAGCUGGGAUGAGUCUGUCUCAUUACGAUGGGUUGAUCUUGGGCUUUCUGUUUCACAUAUCUUCAGGCCUGUGCCUAGAUGUUGUACCAUGUAAUGAAGCCCCUCUCUUUUCAACAACACUUAACAUUGUAUGCACGGACACCCUGGCCCACCUUCUCUGCUAUCAAAUGAGUUAAC